AAGAACUUGUCAAAGACUGCUGAACAGCUAUGAAAAUGUGGAAACAAACACCCCUGGUGAAUGAAAAAGCUCACCAAUUUGGAACAGGUUUCAAAAGACAAAACUCAGCAUUUCUUGUUGAGCAUGGCAUAUAUUACAGAGAGUCCCACCCC